CUGAAGGGCAGAACUUUCCAGCUUUGUCACCAGUGCUCCCACCCUGGGCUGCCUUCUGGAAAAGUCAGAAACCUGGGAAAGCAAGAAGGGAAAGGAGGAGGACAGGGCCAAGGACAGAAGGAGAGGAGAAGCUACCGGGACCCCUUCCCUGUCUAAACCCCACCCCCAAGACUCAAGAUCAAGGCGAGGAAGAUGUGCCUCAAUUUAAAGUCAACACUGAAAUUUUGACUAUAGGACUUGCCUUUCAAUUGCAACACGGUCAUUGUUUCGUUAUUAGAGGUGAUUAUUUUCAUUUUUUAGAAAACCUAAAUGUGACCAAAAAGUCCUUAUUAGAGGGAAGAACUUAAAAGGACAAUGGGUGACAACAUUUUUAGAUAUUGAUGAGUGUUAUACAUAACAAUAAUAUAAGAUGGUGGGAAUUGUGGAGAGGGAGCGCUUUUCUUGGGUAGUGUGAUCAGAAAAGAUUAUCCGGAAAUGACAUUUGAGUGGAGGCCUGAAUGAGUGGACAGCAGACGCUGCUGAGAUGAGGGGGAGUGAGCUAUAGGAUCAGGAGUGAGAAUGGCCACUUUCUGCCCUUCUCAGAGGUAAAAUUACGAAUGUAAUUUCCUAAUUACCCGAUGAAACAUAUUUUGAACUAGAACACAGAUGUUUGGGAAAACCUCCAGCAAAUUGACUUAAUCUGAUUGAUUUUCUGAUUUAGUGUUUUUCUAAGCAAGAACUGCACCCGUUGUGACAGAAGAGGCGCUAAAGCUGCAAAUUCCUGGGCCUCGACCCACUAGUUCCUAAUCAGAAACUCCAGGGUGGAGACGCAGGAUCUGCAUCCCUGGGAUCACACUGCCUUUCGAGAACCAUCCACCUGCCAGCUCCAAGUAGGUCGAGGGAGCAGCGGCACCUGGGAUCCCACCGGACCGGGAAGAGUCAAAUCCAGGUUUCUCCCUGCUUCACCAAAAGGCCCCCUGCCUCCACCGCAACAGGAACAGUCUCUGUCUGGGAACUGCGGUUGCCUAAGGCUCGGUUUGCUCUUCAGCACUCCGGUCCCCCAACACCGCGUCAGGCGGCGCCCAGCCUCCCGGGGACUCGCAGACGCUCACUCCCCAGACCACAGCGACACCUGCCGAGGCCCCGCGGAACCGCGCUGCACAGCAACCCAGCGCGGCGGGGGGAGUGGCCUGGGGCCAUUCUCCGGCCCCCACCCCCCGCCCGUGACCACCGUGCGCUGCCAGAGGGGAGGCUGCGGGAAUGGCCAGCGAGGUCUCGCAGGGGGACUGGUUGUCUUUUAGGAAAUCAAGGGGCCAGCGCCCCCAGUGCCGGCUGGGAGAUGCCUUCAGAGUUCGAAGAGAAAAGAUGCGACCUUCAAUCCGCUCCAUUCUCCGUCAGACAGGCCCUGCGGACGGAGCUCCUGCCACCGCUGCAGCCCCAUGAUGUGUGCUCCUACGCCCCGCCCCGCUGCAGCCCAGCCCACCCCACCCCCAUACGGAAAUCCUGCAGGAGAAACUGAAACACUAGCGACAGUGGGACAUAUCCCCGGGAGCAGUUGCGGGAGGGAGAGAAGGAAGGAGCAAAGGGGAAGAGGAAGAGAGAGAGAGAGCUCAAGGGAGCCUUCUUGGAAAGGUUUAACCCGACAGCUUGAAGGCGGCGGGUAGUAAAGCAGCGAACUGGUGAACGGGCGUCCUGACCCGCCACACUUCCCUCACCGACACCCCUCAUCCGCGAUACCCCACAGGACAGGAUGUCCAGCUGCCCUCACUUAUCGUGCCCCUGGGCAUUUGAGGGGUUCAGAGAGAGAAACGCAGUAACUUAUUACCCUCACAUGAUAUAUUUUCACUUUCUUCUCCUGAUUGUCAGCUCAAUUAGAUAAGGGACCUUGUGUUUUAUUCCGUUGUACCCCGUGCCUGACACAUGGUAGCUGCUGGAUAGAGAUUUCUUCGAUGAUUGAUUAUAAAACACACUAAUUUAGAGCUUACUAUGUUAUAAGAUCUCCAUCUUCAGUGACUCACUUAUUCCUCACAAGAAGCCUAGGAGGUAAGGUUUUCCAAUAAGGAGAGCCAGGCACCCCAUAAUGAACGUGCACGGUGUCACAUUCCCAGCAAGUGCCGAAGCUGGGGUCAGAUUCAGGCAACCUGGCCCAGUGCCCUCACAGUUCAUCCGGCCUCCACAUGGCCAUUUUGUCCAUGAAUAAAUGAAUAAGUG
rnacentral:lncRNA from 1 species